rnacentral:antisense_RNA from 1 species
CGGCACGGAAUCCACCACGCCGCCGGCGACCGCCUCGUCGCCGAGGUGGUCGCCGCCGGCCAGUGAGCCGACGAUUGUGGUCUCGCCGUACUUGCUCGUGCCGACCUUGGCGACCUUGCCGUGUCCGACCACCAGGAUCUCGGUCACCGGCUGCCCGGCCUCGGCCAGCUGCUCGCCGGCGGCGAAGCGGCGCGGGGUGAAGCGGCCGGCGAGCUCGGUCAGCAGCGCCUCGUCGUCCAGGCCGCGCAGGAUCGGCAGUUCGGUCAGUGUCGGUGCCAGGACCCUGAUGUCCUCGCCCGACUGGUCGAAGGCGAUCCGGCCGCGUCCCACCGCGUGCGUCAGACGCCGGUUCACCCGGUAGGUGCCGCCGGAGACCUGCACGAAGGGGAGUUUGCGGAGCAGCCACCGGGAGGUGAUGCCCUGCAUCUGCGGAACGGUCUUGGUGGUCGUCGCCAGGUUGCGCGCGGCGGCCGUGCUGAGGCUGAGCUGGCUGUCCG